rnacentral:rRNA from 1 species
GAGGAAUAUUGGUCAAUGGACGAGAGUCUGAACCAGCCAAGUAGCGUGAAGGAUGAAGGUUCUAUGGAUUGUAAACUUCUUUUAUACGGGAAUAAACGAAUCCACGCGUGGAUUUUUGCAUGUACCGUAUGAAUAAGGAUCGGCUAACUCCGUGCCAGCAGCCGCGGUAAUACGGAGGAUCCGAGCGUUAUCCGGAUUUAUUGGGUUUAAAGGGAGCGUAGAUGGGUUGUUAAGUCAGUUGUGAAAGUUUGCGGCUCAACCGUAAAAUUGCAAUUGAUACUGGCAGUCUUGAGUACAGUUGAGGUAGGCGGAAUUCGUGGUGUAGCGGUGAAAUGCUUAGAUAUCACGAAGAACUCCGAUUGCGAAGGCAGCUUACUAACCUGUAACUGACAUUGAUGCUCGAAAGUGUGGGUAUCAAACAGGAUUAGAUACCCUGGUAGUCCACACGGUAAACGAUGAAUACUCGCUGUAGGCGAUAUACGGUCUGCGGCCAAGCGAAAGCAUUAAGUAUUCCACCUGGGGAGUACGCCGGCAACGGUGAAACUCAAAGGAAUUGACGGGGGCCCGCACAAGCGGAGGAACAUGUGGUUUAAUUCGAUGAUACGCGAGGAACCUUACCCGGGCUUAAAUUGCAACCGAAUAUGGCGGAAACGCCAUAGCUAGCAAUAGCGGUUGUGAAGGUGCUGCAUGGUUGUCGUCAGCUCGUGCCGUGAGGUGUCGGCUUAAGUGUCAUAACGAGCGCAACCCUUGCCGAUAGUUACUAACAGGUUAUGCUGAGGACUCUGUCGGGACUGCCAUCGUAAGAUGUGAGGAAGGUGGGGAUGACGUCAAAUCAGCACGGCCCUUACGUCCGGGGCUACACACGUGUUACAAUGGGGGGUACAGAGGGCUGCUACCACGCAAGUGGAUGCCAAUCCCAAAAACCUCUCUCAGUUCGGAUUGAAGUCUGCAACCCGACUUCAUGAAGCUGGAUUCGCUAGUAAUCGCGCAUCAGCCACGGCGCGGUGAAUACGUUCCCG